rnacentral:tRNA from 1 species
UAUUAAUUAGUGUAAAAAAAGCACAAAGAUUUUUGAAGUCUUAUGAAAUAGUUUAAUUCUAUUAUUAAUAA